UACGUAGGGUGCAAGCGUUAAUCGGAAUUACUGGGCGUAAAGCGUGCGCAGGCGGUUUUGUAAGUUUGUCGUGAAAGCCCCGGGCCCAACCUGGGAAUGGCGAUGAAGACUGCAAGGCUUGAAUCUGGCAGAGGGGGGUAGAAUUCCACGUGUAGCAGUGAAAUGCGUAGAGAUGUGGAGGAACACCGAUGGCGAAGGCAGCCCCCUGGGUCAAGAUUGACGCUCAUGCACGAAAGCGUGGGGAGCAAACAGG
rnacentral:rRNA from 1 species